AUUGAACGCUGGCGGCAUGCCUUACACAUGCAAGUCGAACGGCAGCACGGGUGCUUGCACCUGGUGGCGAGUGGCGAACGGGUGAGUAAUACAUCGGAACGUACCUUAUCGUGGGGGAUAACGCAGCGAAAGCUGUGCUAAUACCGCAUACGCCCUGAGGGGGAAAGCGGGGGAUCGCAAGACCUCGCGCGAUUAGAGCGGCCGAUGCCUGAUUAGCUUGUUGGUGGGGUAAAAGCCCACCAAGGCGACGAUCGGUAGCUGGUCUGAGAGGACGAUCGGCCACACUGGGACGGAGACACGGCCCAGACUCCUACGGGAGGCAGCAGUGGGGAAUUUUGGACAAUGGGGGCAACCCUGAUCCAGCAAUGCCGCGUGAGUGAAGAAGGCCUUCGGGUUGUAAAGCUCUUUUGUCAGGGAAGAAACACCGGCUCUAACACAGUCCGGGAAUGACGGUACCUGAAGAAUAAGCACCGGCUAACUACGUGCCAGCCGCCGCCGUAA
rnacentral:rRNA from 1 species